GUCCGUCACAGUUCUGAGUCAGUGCCUGCACAUUUCGCUAAAUUCCAGACAGGACUAAACCAAUCAUUUUACUUCAGAAAGCAUGCUGUGGAAACGGGGAUUCAGUCUUUUCGGAGGCAAGAGCCACAGAAUCAUGGGAAAGGGAAAGCGGUCUCCUUCAAAGAUGCAGUUUUGAUUGUGACCUCUGAUCUGGCUACAAUUUCCUCGGCAACUUGGGCUGCUGUAUCCAGGAAGCAGCAGCAAACUGAAGGGAGACUUGAAGGCGUGGAGAAGAAAGUGGACAGAGAAUGAAAACGACAGAGAAGAAAUGUGAUAGCUAAUGUGGAGAGCAGAACCCAAGAAAAUUUACAGAUGUUUAUCCUCGAUAAUGAAAUGGAAAUCAGGCAUACAGAGGAGCAUUCCACAUCAGCAGCAGUUUGUGCCUAAAGAGGAUGAGAGAGCAAAUGAGUCCAUUUUGUGGCAGUAGAAGCUGCAAGCGCAAAACCCUGGAGCCUGAGCUGGAAUCUGAACACAGGACAAGGAGGUGAAGCCAAUCCAGGACUGUCUUCCAAGUGAAUAAGGACACCUCACUCACUUCACAUCAAGGUGCCACAAAGGCUAAUGCAACCCUGGGUAAGUGAUGAACUUUUCCAAGGGAACAGAUCACUGCAACUUUUUCAGGAACCGAGUGACACUCAUCAAGAGCCUGAAACGAUAUGCUUUUUCAUGUUGUGUCAGUAAUUCUUUCCUGAGUCCUUUUGCAUGAGAAUAAUUAUAACCUGUCAUCUAUAUCUCCAUUAUCGUAGUUUGUGGCGUUCAAGACUUCCGGUUGUUCUUUCCCUGUCACUGUGUCCAAAGUUUCCUAGACUUAAAUGAAGUGUGGAGAAGGUAGCUCAUGGAAUUUACCCAAAGAUGACUCGGAAUCCCAAAAGACGUCUAUAUGCUGAAAGCAAAGGCCUUCAGAUGAAGACUGAAAACCAAAGACUAUAGACAGUCAUAAAAGGUAAGGUGAGAUGAGAUGGAUAAAAAAGCAGUAAGUCUCAAUAAACAGUACUGUGCAAAAGAGCCCAGCGCUCCUCUGCUGGGUUUCUGGGUCUAGUUACCAGUCUGGAGGACACCCUCAUGUGGCAUCCCGAGGAUUAGGAACAGCAUAGCCCUUGCUCUUACACUCUCCCAACUAUGACCUCAGAGAACAGUAGAUGAGCCAUCAAUCUGGUGAGGAAGUUCCACAUCACAGCUUAAUUUCAGUCCCUUAAGGUUAGCCCCAUGCAGCUCCAUUUUGUAUUCUUGGAAUAUGACUCUGUUCUGCUCAUGAAAAUAGAGUGGCAGUAUUGUUCCUCGGAGAAACUAUCUGCAAAAUGAUCCAUCACCUGUCCUCAGAAAAAGGGAGCUGUUUCCUAGGUAACUUAGAUGAGGUAAGAGCUAUUGCCUAAAUGGGUCAAGUUCGGAUUAAGGCUCAAGAUUUCCAGUAAGAAUAUUCUCUGUUUGGGGAGAGACAAAUGUACAUACCAAAUCAGAAUUGAAGAAACUCAUAUUAAGUAUCACCAGGGCCUUACCGUGCAAUUCAGCGGGGAUUAGAGUAGCCCUGCUUUUGAUUUCUUUAGAUUGAUGAUUUAACAGUACUAAUUUGGCUACUAGGUAUUAUCAGCUCCAGGCUCACCUACAAACGUCUGGAGACAUCAGACAGCACCAACCUGUAGACUCUUAGAGUCUCGGUGAACUUGAAUUAUAUCUGGAGCCACUGUUAAAAGCCGGCAACUCGUUUAUCCAAAUCUCAUCUCAUCGCGCCUCAUACAAAACAGUAUAAUUGAAACACUGAUGGAACUCAGUCUCUGGGGAUCCUACCACUGUGAAGGAAGAGCAGAUCCCCGAGGCUCUGUAGGGAAAAGACCCGCACCCAUGCCGUGGGUGCCAAAUUGGCCAGCUACAUGCAGUUCACGUAGCAGAGAACUGAGGCAGAGGUCAAUGUAACAUUCUUUAGCGUUAAGAAGACAAAGUUAAACUUUGUUGACUAAAAUUAGUAAAAUAAAUUAAG